CACCAAGAAAAUUCCUCUCUCUCCCUCUCUCUGUCUCUACAAUUUCAGCCCUUCACUCGCCACUCUCUCUCAUCGUCUCAGAAUCGAUGGCAGCCACACUGAUCUCCAUCUCCUAACUCAUACAUCUCUCUCUCGAUCAUAUAUAUUAUGCCUUCUGUUGUUCUCAUCAUCUAUACUAUAUUACUAAUCUGUUCCACACCUGAGCAAUCACUCUUUACAUUCUUCAAUCAACAUCAUCAUAAUCAUCAAACUUCCAAAUCUUCACCUCCGAUCUUCAAGAAUCGGAGCUUCAAUUUCCUGAUUUCCGAACUCAAACUCCCAACGCUAAUCACCAAUCACAACCUCUCACACUCUUACUCUUUCCACAAGAUCAACCUCUUCUUCGGCCACUUGCUUCGUCGCAAUCAAAUCCUAAGCGUCCGAUUCAAACCCUAGUUUCUGCAAUGAGCUUCUUGAGGCCCUCUGUCUUGUACCGGUUUUUGUUGGUGACUUACCAUUCACUCCGAUGGAUGCCUUGUCAGAGCUGGGUGUUUCUUCGCUGUCCUAGUCUUGACAGUUUUAUUCGCCUUCUCAUCAUUGUGCUUUUAUGGUCUAUGUUUUCUGAAAUUCGAUACAUUACAUCUUCGUCCAUGUACCCAACUCUUCGUGUUGGUGAUAGGAUCAUCGUUGAAAGGGCUUCAUAUUACGUCAGGCGUCCUGCUAUACAUGAUAUUGUUAUUUUUCGAGCUCCUGCACAGCAACCUGAGUUCAUGGAGGAAGAGAUUUUCAUUAAAAGAAUAGUAGCGAGAGCAGGAGACUCAGUUGAGGUUCAUCACGGGUCACUUUACGUCAAUGGGAUUGCUCAGAAUGAAGAUUUUAUAGCAGAACGACCAACAUACCCAUUGAAUCUAAUCACUGUGCCUAGAGGUCAUGUUUAUGUUUUGGGUGACAACCGUAAUAACAGCAAUGAUUCGCAUAGUUGGGGACCGCUUCCUGUAAAAAACAUUGUUGGAAGGUUUGUCAUGCGUUGUCACAAGCCUUCAGGCACCAGUCCACAUGAGGACAAAAGAUGAACAUGAGAUUGAAGGGGAUCCUUGGCUUAAUUUCAACCAUGACGGGUUUGGGUGACAUUUAUAUAUUAGGUUCCUUGGAAUAAUUGUAUCGGAUUGGCGAGAACUUGUAAUCCAUUUAAAUUCAAGAAGUUAGUUGGCUGCUCUGCCUGUGGAUAAGGAAGAGAUUGGGAAGCAUCAUCAGCAUCUUCAAUGAAUGGAUCUGUCUGUGUUGAUGAAGUUGGAUCAUUCUGGAAUUCUGAAAAUUGGCAUAUCAUCAAGUAGGUGUAGGUUACAAAUUGGGAUUUAAUCCUGAAUGACUCAUCCAACUCAGACAAAUCAAUUCACUCAACCAUAUACCCAAAAUGCAGCGCCAUUGCUUGUUAAGAGAAAUAUUUUAGUGCAGACUGCCCUAUGAAUAUAGGGGUGGACUAAGGAUCCAUUGAAUGGCAAAUUGGGGAUAAAAAAUUGUUGUAAAUUGGGCUAAUUUGUUAACACUAAUUAAGUAUUUUGAUUUGUACUGUGUGAUUCAACUUGCAAAAGGCAGGGCACGAAAAUUGUUUGGUUGA